UACGUAGGGUGCAAGCGUUGUCCGGAAUUAUUGGGCGUAAAGAGCUUGUAGGCGGUUUGUCGCGUCUGCUGUGAAAUUUCGGGGCUCAACCCCGAACUUGCAGUGGGUACGGGCAGACUAGAGUGUGGUAGGGGAGACUGGAAUUCCUGGUGUAGCGGUGAAAUGCGCAGAUAUCAGGAGGAACACCGAUGGCGAAGGCAGCUCACUGGGACGGUACUGACGCUGAGGCGCGAAAGCGUGGGGAGCGAACAGG
rnacentral:rRNA from 1 species